CGGGCUGUAGUAUACCGGUAGUACGCGUGCAUGGGGUGCAUGUAGACCGAGUUCGAUUCUCGGCAGCCCGACCA
rnacentral:tRNA from 1 species